rnacentral:rRNA from 1 species
GAUGAACGCUAGCUACAGGCUUAACACAUGCAAGUCGAGGGGAAACGAUAGAGAAAGCUUGCUUUUUCUAGGCGUCGACCGGCGCACGGGUGAGUAACGCGUAUCCAACCUGCCCACCACUUGGGGAUAACCUUGCGAAAGUAAGACUAAUACCCAAUGACGUCUCUAGAAGACAUCUGAAAGAGAUUAAAGAUUUAUCGGUGAUGGAUGGGGAUGCGUCUGAUUAGCUUGUUGGCGGGGUAACGGCCCACCAAGGCGACGAUCAGUAGGGGUUCUGAGAGGAAGGUCCCCCCACAUUGGAACUGAGACACGGUCCAAACUCCUACGGGAGGCAGCAGUGAGG